CACGUAGGGCGCAAGCGUUGUCCGGAAUUAUUGGGCGUAAAGCGCGCGCAGGUGGUUUCUUAAGUCUGAUGUGAAAGCCCACGGCUCAACCGUGGAGGGUCAUUGGAAACUGGGAGACUUGAGUGCAGAAGAGGAAAGUGGAAUUCCAUGUGUAGCGGUGAAAUGCGUAGAGAUAUGGAGGAACACCAGUGGCGAAGGCGACUUUCUGGUCUGUAACUGACACUGAGGCGCGAAAGCGUGGGGAGCAAACAGG
rnacentral:rRNA from 1 species